rnacentral:rRNA from 1 species
AGUGAACGCUGGCGGUAGGCCUAACACAUGCAAGUCGAACGGCAGCACAGUAAGAGCUUGCUCUUACGGGUGGCGAGUGGCGGACGGGUGAGGAAUACAUCGGAAUCUACUUUUUCGUGGGGGAUAACGUAGGGAAACUUACGCUAAUACCGCAUACGACCUACGGGUGAAAGCAGGGGAUCUUCGGACCUUGCGCGAUUGAAUGAGCCGAUGUCGGAUUAGCUAGUUGGCGGGGUAAAGGCCCACCAAGGCGACGAUCCGUAGCUGGUCUGAGAGGAUGAUCAGCCACACUGGAACUGAGACACGGUCCAGACUCCUACGGGAGGCAGCAGUGGGGAAUAUUGGACAAUGGGCGCAGGCCUGAUCCAGCCAUACCGCGUGGGUGGAGAAGGCCUUCGGGUUGUAAAGCCCUUUUGUUGGGAAAGAAAAGCAGCAGGUUAAUACCCCGCUGUUCUGACGGUACCCAAAGAAUAAGCACCGGCUAACUUCGUG